CCAGCCGUGAACCGGAAGUGGCUCCGUCGACAGUGGCGGGAAGGCGCGGGAGCCCCGCCCUCCGCCUGAGGGCCCUAUGAAGUGUGAGGGCGGAGAGGGCCGCGGCCCUGCCGGCUCUUCCCCGGCUGCGGCCCUGCCGGCCCUUCCCCGGCUGCGGCGGCCCCUGCUCUUCCCGUGGCCAGCGGCUGAACACGGCAGAGCUGGGUAAAAUCCACCGGCUGGGAAUGGCUGCCCCAAAUGGGGCUAGAUGACUGUGGGAAGCCAUUCCCUGUGUCCUGCCCCUCCGUCCCUUUCCCAGGUCCCUCUCCAGCUCUCCUGGAGCCCCUUUAGGCUGGAAGGGGCUCCCAGGUCUCCCUGGAGCCUUCUCCUCUCCAGGCUGGAUAACACCAUGUGCCCUCGUGAGCCAAACCCGGGAGCACAGCGAGAAUCCCUGCAUGGAAACACAGUGGGGACAGGGAGGGGCCUGCAGGGAGGUGACACGGGAUGGACAGGUGCCCACUCCCAAAUUGCACAACCCCUAUGGAAACCCCUUUGCUUUGAGCAGGAUGUAAAUCCAAGCUGCCUUGGAUGUCCUCGCACAGUGGUUGCCAGACAGUCCACAGCUGCAUGGGAGUGAAAUCCUCUGGAAAACCAGGAGAUUUGGUGCAGCUAGUAAGACUUCCUCCUCCUCCUCCUGUGAUGCAGAGCUCCUUUGCUUGGUAGACACUUCUCCUGAUCAUUCCAAGCAGAAGGGAGCGAUGGCGACUUGGCAAGAGCUGAAAAUCCGCCUUUGGAUCAUGAAUCAGCCCUGUAAUUUCUGUGUAAAGGAACAUUUCGGAGGAUUUAUGGCAUAGCAUGCUCACGUCGGAUCUGCUUGUCACAGACCGUGUUAGAGGCUCCAGAUAAAAGGCUUGCAGUUUACAGCCCUGGAAAAUUGGAAUGACUUCCCUGCUGGGAGCACACGGCAGUGACUGGUGGGAAUGUUGCUCCAGACGUUCCCUUGGACCAAGGGCAGCGCCAAGAGGAUGCUGAUGUACCUGGAUGUGCAGAACCAUUCCCUGGCAGCUCCAGAAUGAUCCACGUGGGCACACACGACCCUGACAGCGAGUUGUUAACCCUGACAUGAGUCAGGGAGUGGAAUGGGAGAGAUAAAAACAGAGGGAAUGUAUUUGGAGGGGACGGUUUUAUUGAGAACUUUUAUGUGCUUGCUGCUUUUCAGUCCAGGAUCUCUGACCUGUAAUGAAAAUCUUACCCUGGUUAUUUAUUUCUGCUUAUUUAAAGUUAAUAUUUUAUGAUGCACACGGUCUUCUGCUAGUCCAGAAUUCCAGUAUAAAGGGAUGGGGAUGUCAAGUUGUCCUCCUCCAACUCCACAGCCAGGAUCCAGUGGAAUUCAGGGAUAGUCACAUCAAACCCAGCCUCCACCACAAACAUCCCAAUGUCCAAGUGGCUGAAACCCCAUUUCUAAGCUCCCCGAAAUAUUAUUGCUUAAUCCAUUAUCCAAAAUUAUUCAAAACUCAAGAGCUGCACUUAGAACUGCCAUCAAAUUUAUGUGCUUCCACCAAAAUCAGUCACACAACAGGAAAGCACGUGGAAAACACAACUGUUGGGGAAGGCUGGGUGGGCUCAGGAGCUUCUUCCACAAGAUUUUAGGAUGUUCAAGCUCAAAACACAAAGGAAAGUUUCUAAAGGUUGAAGCUAAUAGGUUAAUACAUAAAUUAAGAAGUUUGUACAAAAAAAAAUCAAGACGCUUGUUAAAAAAAAGUAGGAAGUUUGCAAAAAAAAAAAGAAGAAGACAUUUAUAAAAGGGCUGGGAAGUGUUUAAAAAAGAAUUAAGAAGUUUGCACCGAAAAAAAAUUAGGAAGUUUGUCAAAAAAUUAAGAAGUUUGCCGAAAAAGCUUCUAGAGUGAGAGCCCAGAAUUUUUCACAGGGAAGAGCUGCACAAAAGCUCCCCGAACAUGUUUUCUCUUUUCCAAAGCUGUUUCCUAAAUGUCAGUUUUAUCGCCUUUUUUUCCCAACCCUUUAUGACCAUAUGUGUUUUUAUGAUAUUCACAACAUGCUUGUGCCACACAAGAUGCAAAUGUAAUUUCCUGUUAUAAUGGCACAAUAUGCAGAGCAACAAAUGAGGAACGAGUGACACAAAAUAAUGAAAAGUGGCUCCGGGUGUGCCUGCAAGGGCCUCUUUUCCCCCUCCCGGGAAUUACCAGAGAACUGAGAGGGGGCUCAGCCUCCUCCUCCCACACAGACGUUGCCCACAUGUGGCUUUGACCAGAACUCAUUCCAAGCAAUUAGAGGAACCUCUUCGUCACGGAAUGACAGAAUCCCAGGAUCAGUGAGGCUGGAAAAGCCCUCCAGGAUCCGUGGAGUCCAAGCUGUGACUGAUCCCAGCCCCGCGCGGGAGAGUUGAGCACAUUCCUGAGGAGGGGAAGCCGCGGCCGUGACCUGGGAGCUGUGAGACCUCGUCCUGCCCUGGCUGCGUCCACAGGAGCUCCGAAGCACCGGGAUGGCCGAUGGAUCCGGCCCUGGGGCACCAGUUCCACCGCCGGACACAGCCCUUGGCAGCCAGCCCCGGCCAGAGCUUCAGACUAGACCUGGAAAGCCACAUCCUAUGAACCUCCUGGCUACACCUUCUUCAGUGCAGACAUGAAGCAACACUCCUGUGGCCGAGCACUGGCAGGACAAAAGGGAAGCUCCAGGAAUGACAACGGGCACAACCAUAGCCCCAAACUGGAGCAAACUGGAG